rnacentral:misc_RNA from 1 species
AAGUCGUAACAAGGUCUCCGUAGGUGAACCUGCGGAGGGAUCAUCAAAGAAUUUACCCAUACAAAAAAGUGUGUGCGCCUUCUUCUUCUUCUUUUGGGAGGAGGAGGGGGGGAGUGUGCCGCUUUUUUCAAACAAACGAUCGCAACUAUAAUAAUAUCAUAGGGGGGGGAAAAGAGGGGAAUGAAAUGAACAAGUGUUUGCCUGAUAAUAUUUGGUUGGAAAACAAAGAAUAAUGAUAUACAACUUUCAACAACGGAUCUCUUGGCUCUCA